AGAGUUUGAUCCUGGCUCAGAUUGAACGCUGGCGGCAUGCCUUACACAUGCAAGUCGAACGGCAGCACGGGUGCUUGCACCUGGUGGCGAGUGGCGAACGGGUGAGUAAUAUAUCGGAACGUACCUUAUCGUGGGGGAUAACGCAGCGAAAGCUGCGCUAAUACCGCAUACGCCCUGAGGGGGAAAGCGGGGGACCGUAAGGCCUCGCGCGAUUAGAGCGGCCGAUAUCUGAUUAGCUUGUUGGUGGGGUAAAAGCCCACCAAGGCGACGAUCAGUAGCUGGUCUGAGAGGACGAUCAGCCACACUGGGACUGAGACACGGCCCAGACUCCUACGGGAGGCAGCAGUGGGGAAUUUUGGACAAUGGGGGCAACCCUGAUCCAGCAAUGCCGCGUGAGUGAAGAAGGCCUCCGGGUUGUAAAGCUCUUUUGUCAGGGAAGAAACAGCAGCUCUAACACAGUCUGCGAAUGACGGUACCUGAAGAAUAAGCACCGGCUAACUACGUGCCAGCAGCCGCGGUAAUACGUAGGGUGCAAGCGUUAAUCGGAAUUACUGGGCGUAAAGCGUGCGCAGGC
rnacentral:rRNA from 1 species